rnacentral:rRNA from 1 species
CCUACGGGAGGCUGCAGUGGGGAAUAUUGGACAAUGGGCGAAAGCCUGAUCCAGCAAUGCCGCGUGUGUGAAGAAGGUCUUCGGAUUGUAAAGCACUUUCGACGGGGACGACGUACCCGUAGAAGAAGCCCCGGCUAACUUCGUGCCAGCAGCCGCGGUAAUACGAAGGGGGCUAGCGUUGCUCGGAAUGACUGGGCGUAAAGGGCGCGUAGGCGGUUUGCACAGUCAGAUGUGAAAUUCCUGGGCUUAACCUGGGGGCUGCAUUUGAUACGUGUAAGCUAGAGUGUGAAAGAGGGUCGUGGAAUUCCCAGUGUAGAGGUGAAAUUCGUAGAUAUUGGGAAGAACACCGGUGGCGAAGGCGGCGACCUGGUUCAUACUGACGCUGAGGCGCGAAAGCGUGGGGAGCAAACAGGAUUAGAUACCCCUGUAGUC